UGAAUCCUGCAGAUUUCUGGGGGAGAUCAAACAAAUGGCUUGAACAUGUUAUAAUUCCACAGUAGGGAAGAGCCUGUUCUAGGAAGAAGGAUGGCCCGUGCACAGGUAGUUCGUGGACAUGAAGGGUAAGUCGUGCUGUUCUUGGAGCACAUACGUGUAUUACAGGCCUCCCUGUAAAGUUUUUAUCCUCAUCAGUAGGCCACACAUUCCUUGGGAUCCCAUCUCCUUGAUCAUUCUUACAUAUUUCAAGAGACUAGUAAAGAAGCUAGAUACUUAUUACAUGAAAAAGAUG